CCUAACUGAGCAUGUGCAGUAUGAGUAUCAUCACUCUAGCAUGUUUCUAAUUGGAGAAAUAAGACUUGAUGCAACGGUCCCCAGUCUCCACUACCAGGGAAACGCGACGCAAAUCCAACGUAUCGGCUUCUAUUACGCGAUGAGACCAGCGAGCCGGGUCACUAACUGAAAAAGGGCAUGUCCAUCACGCCACAUUUAACUCUGGUCCAAAAUGUCCGAGAAUGGAAAUCAAGCGACGGAAGCAGUGAGAAACCGGGUCUCCGGUGGUCACCCACGGAACAGCAGAACUGGUAGAUCACGAAGGAGACCAGGACAUAGAGAAGAGCAUAAAGAAACAUCAGAUGACUUCCAACCGCAGAAGGGAGCGGUCCCUUUAAAAACAGGUAGUACAUCUGCUCAAAACAAUGCCAAAAGAGGCUACCGCCAUUCUUCUCAGACAUUUCGUUCAGAGACUCAACCCAGUGAUGCUGCUUGGAAUCAAAUACAUCAUAGAUCCCAGAGUGGGUUGCACAGGAGCGGUGCAAGGCAAAAAGAGUAUACAUCUAGAAGGACCCAGCCACUUGUUUCCCAAAGGGCAGCCAGUCAACCUCAUCUGUUGAACAUCAAUGAUAAUGGAAGUAAGGCUCUCUCAGACCAUUGCAAAAAAGUCCACAGAAGUCAAAAGUUGGAUAUGAGAGCACUUGAGACAAUUCUACAAAUGGAGCCAUCUGAAAUAGUCAUGAAACUGGCAGCACCAGGCAGCGGUUUGAACAAUUUACUAAACACAGAAGAACAAACCAGUGACGCUGUCUUAUCUAAAAUUCUUGAUGUUCUCGGCAAAGCAUGCAGCAGUCGAACUAAUAGGCAGAACUUGCAGCAUCUUCUUGUUGAGGUGAAAGAGUCUAAGUUUGUGAAAUGUUUAUUGCCCCUGUUUAUUGUGAACAUAGAUAAACCCAAAGACCAAGUGGAGAUGGAAGGUACCAUAGAUAAACUCAACAAAAUAAUGGACCUCUACUUAACAUUAGUGGACAUCUUCCCAUCAAGUACUACUGUGGUUGUAUCCCUUGGUCUUGCAGUUUUGGAGCCUCAAAUGUCAAAACUGAAAAGCUAUGCAGGCACCAGUGUUCUAGAGGAAACACAAAAUAAGGUGGAGAAGCUUCAGAUGAUAAUUACACAUCUGAAAAACAAGAAAAGUGAAAAAACUUUUAGGUCAGACAGUUACACUUUGCUUUUGGAAGACUAUGAUGAGUCAAGUGUUGAAAAUUUCAGGGUCAUGUCAAUAUUUCCAAGUUUUGGAGAUAUACACACGACCCAGAAGCCAUUCAUUAGGCCCAACAUCAUCACUGAGAAGUUUGUAGACAGUGACACCUACCUGGACACGCACUUCCGGCUUCAGAGGGAAGACUUUGUUAAGCCCUUGAGAGAUGGAAUUUCAUAUCUCCUAAUGGGCAAUGAGAAUGAUAAAAUUCCACAAAACCUUGACAUUCGAAUUUAUUUGAAUGCCUUCAUUACUUCUCCUGUAUGUACUCCAAAAGGAAUCUUGUACCAAAUUAAGUUUGACACAAAGAACUUGAAAUAUGUCAACUGGGAGAGCUCGAAGAGGCUCCUCUAUGGAGCGUUGGUUUGCCUGUCUAUGGACAAUUUUAGAACAAUGAUUUUUGCCACUGUUGGCCACAGAGAUAUAAAAGAACUUAAACGAGGUGUUGUAAAUGUCUUCUUCAAUGAUGAGAAUAGGGUGAGACUUGCAAAUAUCUCUCAAAAGAAGGCAUUCUUAAUGGUCGAGACAACAGCCUUUUUUGAAGCUUACAGACAUGUCCUUGAAGGUCUACAGGAAAUAAAUGCAGAAGACCUGCCAAUGCAGAAGUAUAUUGUAAAGUGUGAAUCUCACAUCACUCCUCCUAAGUAUCUACAAGACAAUGGAGGCAAUUUUAGUCUUUGGGCACUAAUGAAUGAAAAGCCUGCACUUCAAUGUAGAAGGAUUCAACGGCCAGUUCAUCAGAGGCAACUUUUGGGAAAAGAGAAGCAUGUGAAGAAUAUUUUAAAUUUGGAUAAUUGGCCCAGUAAAGAGAAUCUCAGACUAGAUACUUCUCAGAUGAAGGCUGUGCAGCUGGCAUUGACAAAGGAACUUGCCAUAAUCCAAGGCCCCCCAGGAACAGGGAAGACUCAUGUUGGUCUUAAGAUUGUCAAGGCACUCCUGGAUAAUGCUGAGGUCUGGGGCAUUGGUUGUCGCAGGCCUAUUCUGGUCGUUUGCUACACAAACCAUGCAUUGGACCAGUUCUUGGAAGGCAUCCACAAGUUCAUGACAAAUCCAGCUGGGAUGGUGAGAGUUGGGGGACGAUCCUCCAGCGACGUUAUCAAAGACUGUUCUCUCAAUAAAUUGAGAAGCAUCCACAAUUCAAGGGCUUGUUUACCUGGACACCUAAAAGCUAUGCAUUCGGAUCUUAAAGAAGAGAUGAAAAAGGCUGAGAAGGAAGUUGGACGAAAUGCUUCUUUGCUUGAAAUCUCUGAAAAUGGAAUUCUGGGAGAGUCUGUCCUGCAGGACCACAUCGUAUCUCUUCAUGGAAGCAGCCUGGAAGCUGGAAGGCCUUUGGAAGAGUACUAUGUGGGGAGUGAGAGGCAGCAGUCUGUGAUUUUAGAGUGGCUUGGAAUCUCCGUGAUUAACAGUGGUCCGCACUGCAUGGACAGGAGCAAUGGAGCCGGUGGGAAUGCUGAAGGCGCCACCCAGGAGAAAGGCUUAGCACAAGAACUUGAAUGCCUGUCAUUGUCUCCUCAAGCGGAGUGUGGAGACAAUGUUGGGGAGGCCCUGAUGGAUGCAGUUAAUGAUGACGACACCCUAGAUUGCUUUGAGCGGGAGCAGGCCCAGAGAAUGAUGGAAGGAGACAAUAUUGAGAAGCACAUCCAGAGCGCUAAAAACAGGAUCGUCACCAUGGAGAGAGAAGCCAUGGCCUGUAUGCUUAAGGGGGAUGAGGAGGAAGAGCUCAGAGAUAAAAAUGAAGAGGGUGAUUACGACCAAGAGUGGGAAAUAAGUAAAGAAAUGAAGAAGAGGUUGAAACGGUUCAUAAAGGCCGAGCUUAAGAAGACUGACCACAUAACAGAGACGGAGGCUUUGAAGAUCUCUGACCUCUGGGCUCUGCCCAGCACACAGCGGUGGAGCCUCUACCGACUUUGGCUCUCCUUGUUCCGGCAAGAUCUGAAGGAAAAGCUUCUGGAAUCUGAGAACAACUUCCAGAGAAUAACCGAGCGCCUGGAUGAACUAAGAAAUGCUGAGGACACGAUGAUCCUGAAGAAUGCCAGCAUCGUUGGCAUGACGACUACAUGUGCUGCCAGAUACCGGAAGGUUCUGCAAGGCAUUCAGCCCAAGAUUGUGGUGGUGGAGGAAGCUGCGGAGGUUAUGGAGGCACACAUUGUGACGGCGCUGAGCCCAGGCUGCGAGCAUCUCAUCCUGAUCGGAGACCACCAGCAGCUUCGCCCCAGUGCUACAGUCUAUCAACUUGCCAUUAAAUUCAAUCUGGAGGUGUCGUUGUUCGAGAGGCUGAUCAAAAUGAAAAUCCCAUAUGUUCGUCUUGACUAUCAGCAUCGCAUGAGACCGGAGAUUGCACGUCUGCUUACACCAUAUAUCUAUGACCAGCUGGAGAAUGAUUCUUCGGUCUAUGAGUAUGAAAACAUCAAGGGUGUCACUUCAAAUGUCUUCUUUGUGGAACAUGAGCACUUGGAAGAGAACAUCUCUGAAGGCCGAAGUCACCAGAACAAGCACGAGGCCACCUUUGUCAAGGCCCUCUGCUAUUACUUUAUCUGUCAGGGGUAUAAACCUUCCCAGAUUACAGUUCUUACCACAUACACCGGUCAGCUCUUUUGCCUGAAAAAGAUUAUGGAUAAGAAAAAAUUUGGUGAUGUUAAACUGUCUGUUGUAGAUGGAUACCAGGGAGAGGAGAAUGAUAUAAUAAUACUGUCCUUGGUUAGAAGCAAUAAGGAAGGAAAGGUGGGUUUCCUGAGUAUACCGAACCGCGUCUGCGUUGCUCUGUCGAGGGCGAAAAAGGGCCUGUUCUGCAUCGGAAACAUGUCGAUGCUUUCUGCCGUCCCACUGUGGGGCAAGAUCAUAAAGGAGCUCAGGAGUCACGAGGAGAUUGGCGAAGCGUUGAACCUGCGCUGCGAGAACCAUCCCGGCACCAUCACUGCCGUGUCUGAGGAAGCAGACUUCUUAAACGUUCCCCUAGGGGGAUGCUCCGUGCCCUGUGAGCAUCGGCUCGACUGUGGCCAUGUUUGCCCCAGGCUCUGCCACCCGGUUGAUGACCACAAGCAGUAUAAAUGCAUGAAGCCCUGCACCAAGACACUAUGUCAGUUCGAACACAAGUGUCCGAAGGUGUGCUCAGUCAUUUGUGGGAAAUGCAAGGUGCUUGUCGCUAAGAUAAUUCCCAAAUGUAAUCAUGAGCAGCUUGUUCAUUGCUCAGUUGAUCCAGAGGAGUUUGUCUGUACUGUUCCAUGCAGAAAGACCAUACAGUGUGGCCAUGCCUGUAUCCGCAAAUGUGGGGAAACUUGCACAUCCCUUUGUUCCCAGGAUGUCACUGUAGAGCUUGACUGUGGUCAUCAAAGAGUCUUGCCAUGCCACGUAAAGCAGGAGGUUGACCGCAAACAGGGGAAAAUCCAGUGUUUGGAAAAAUGUAAUUCUCAGUUGGACUGUGGCCACAUGUGCACUGGGAAAUGUUUCCAGUGCAACAAUGGAGCCACGCAUAUUCCGUGUGUCGCUCAGUGUGAAGUUCAGCUGAUCUGCUCACACUGUUGCAAGGAGAAGUGCGGGGCGAGCUGCGUUCCCUGUGUGCAGCCUUGUCAAAACAAAUGCGUGCAUCAGAAGUGCUCAAGGGUGUGCAGCGAGGCUUGUCAGCCUUGUACCCAGCCCUGCCCCUGGCAAUGUAGGCAUCAGCGCUGCACUCGGCUGUGCCACGAGCCCUGUGACAGACCCCCCUGCCAGAUGCCUUGCUUGAAUCAGCUGCCCUGCCAGCAUCAAUGCAUUGGAAUGUGCGGUGAACCGUGCCCGGAUAAGUGCCGGAUCUGUCAUGCCGGGUACGUGCAAGAGCUCUUCUUUGGGAAAGAAGCUGACCCAGAAUCUCGCUUUGUACAGCUGUCAGACUGCAGGCAUAUUUUCGAAGUGACUGGUUUCGACUCUUGGAUGGAGUCUCGGGAAGGGAACAGAAUCAAGUUUAAGAUUUGCCCCAAAUGCCACAUACCUGUCCUCAGGACCGUGCGAUACGGCGCCGCGGUCAAACUUCUGCUGUCUGACAUCGAGUUGUUGAAGAGUAGGGCAGCCAAGAUGUAUUCAGAGUACAUUAAAGACUCUGUGACAAGGAGGAUAAAGCAGGGGAUAAAUUGCCAGUUUUUUUCCCUUCUCCUCCCCAGGUUAGAAGAUCACUUAGAAUUAAGUGGAGUUCACAAUAUUCACAGACAGGUUAUACUUCUAUCCCAACUGGCUGAUAUAACCCUGAACACAGCUCAUCUGCCGGUAAACCUGAAGGUCCGAAUCAACCGGAAGGUACAGACGUGCAGUGAAAAUGUCACCCGUGCGACGCAGUUAGGCUGGGUGCAUGAGAACAAUGUCAGGAGGAUUCAGGUCUUGGCCGAAGCUCUGGUGUAUUCGGACAGACUGGAUCCUUCCCAAGAUGAUGUGUCACCGGCGUUCGUGCAAGAGCGAAAGUCGCUGGAUGACAUCCUCCAUAGACUAAGUGAUGAGAAGACAGAGGUGAACCUUAAUCAUAUACGUCUCACUCUCCAUAGCAUUUCAGAGAAUGUGAAAGCACUGAUUGAGUGGCGGACGUUGGAAGAAUCAGAUGUCAGCGCCGAUAUCUGUAGUUGUCUGAAACUCAGCCACUGGUCCAAAUGUACUGAGGGACACAUUUACUACAACCGGUCAGCUGACGGUGUACAGGAGACUUUUUGUUGCCCAGAAUGCUUAACCAUCUAAACAAAUUGCAUUAAUCUUGCAUUAAAACAGCACUUAGACAAUACUAUUCAAUUCAUCCUCAGAUCUGUAACAUCUGUAACUGCGCUGUUUGAGCUGAGAUAAGAUGCAUCUUAAUAUCGAUAAAUAUAGCAAAAAGACUUUACCACAGGAUGAUGUUUAGUGCAUUAUUUUGCUAAGUUACUGCUAAUGUAGCACAUUCAUUUUUUUUUGCUUUAGUCUUUUAAUGUGAUAGUUGCACAAAAUCCGGGUUUUCGUUCGACCUGAUGAUUAUCUUACUCCUUAAAUCUGUUUUUUGAUUUGACCAGAGCACAUGGAAAUUUGUUACCGUUGUGUGCAAUUUAAAGGGACUUCGGAGACAGCAGCUGCAUCAAGUCUCUGCCUUCUGCACUCCCACACGCCUCAUACUGUACACACAACACAGUGCAGUCUCCAGAUCACAAGCUGGAGUAUCCACACCCUCAGAGUGAGACCAAUUGCACUAGGUCGAUGCGGAAUUUAUUGCAAUAUUUUUCAUAAUUAUUGCUCCAGUGUUAACUUGCCCUUGUUUAUUCAGAACCCGAUCCUCAUGCUGUGAAUAGUUGUCAGAUUCCUGGAUCGUUUUAUAAUGUUUUGCUUAACUCCAGUUCUGUAAUGUUAACAUGCACUUGUUUGUAGUUGUUCACUAGAAGCUUAGCCUAGCAACAUUUUAUACCGAAGCUGAUUUCUUCAUGACUUCAGUGCUUGGGAUGCACUGAAUGCUUCAUUUGUACAUCACUUGCGACAAAAGGGUUUGCGAAGCAAAGAGAUAAUAAAUGAAUGAAUGAAUGAAUGAAAGUAUCCAAGUGUGAUGGCCCAGUGGCAGUACAUUAAGAUGCAUUGCAUGAUGCAUGAUUUGGGAUUCAAAAAGACACCAAACCGUCAACAUAAUCUUUUAAAAUAUCUCAAAUGCUCUUUUUGUAAUAAAAUCAUUUUAUGCAGCCAUUUUUAUUCUAUACUGACUUUCGGUGGCACUGGUGGGUAAUAUCAGAACCUCAGGGUUGGCUAUUUGAAUCGCAGCCCUUCUAUGUGUAUGGCAGUUUCACGUUUUCUCACGUGUGUCUGUCACAGUCCAGUUGCUCGCAUUUCGGAACACUGGCACCCAUGACAACACACUCACAGUUCAACAAGAUUGUAGCCCUUCAGCCUUGCAGAUCAGGCUUCUUUAGUGAAUCUUCAGACCCGAAGCACAAAUUAUGGGGUCAUAUUGUGACGUCAGGUGGACCAAGGCAUCGCAGGAGCAGAGAGAGACACGGACACUCACUUGCUGGGGAGAACACUCUCUUUAUUAGUAGCACUGAAAAGGAGUACAUCAGGCACUCAACAAGCACCAGACCAGUUACACAUAAGAAACAUAAAGUUGUCAGAUGCUGAACUGUAAGAUACACAUAUGGUGGGACUGGACAGGGCACACACAAGAUAUAUAUAUGAUUAAAUGACCUAACAAGAUUAUCUGCUUUACAUACUACAAAAACAUUUUUUCCCUCCAUCCUGUAGGAAAUUACUAUGUAGAAACACCAAUCUUAUACUAAAGUUGACUCUUUGACAGCUGCCUGCUCAUGAUGUUCUAUCUGUCUAACAGAUACAUAACUUUGGACAAAAGCUACUGUGGAAAGAAAAUUGGACAUCAGUAGGCCUGGGAGGGGAGGCAUAUUGGGUGUGUUAUGUCUUAGCCCUUAGGCAAAGAGAGAUGUUUGGUAUACUGUGUGUCCUUGUCUCAACAGGUGCACAGAGAGAUGUAGUUAUAAAGUAGUCGCAAUAAGUCUACGCAAUGUGUAAAUGUAUAAGUAGUUAUCACAUUAAUCAUAUGUUAACCAUGUAUUUACAGUAAAUCUGUAUCCAUAUAUCAAGUAGUAGUCUAGUGGUUGAGACAUGUUUUGGGAAAUUGCGCAAAAUGGGUGGAUUUUCCCUUGCUACCAAGGGGAACCAGUAGAGCAGGAGAAUCGUGUUUGUUAUACGUUUGAGCUCGGUUUGUUGGUGUUCUGGGUGCUCGGUAGUGAUGUAUCGGUCGUGAUCGAAACGGCUCUCGGAGCCGACUGAAGUGAACGAUCGGAGCCGGCUCCCGCCUGUGAGCCGGACUCAAUCGCUUUUUUUCUUUUUUAAUUUUUUUUUUCCACCCGCACAGAUUGGUUAACCACACGAUGCAUGUCUGCUCUGAGCAGGACGGGGAGGGGCGGUGCUACAGGGUGCGUUCGACUUGGGCUUUAAGUCUUAAGUCGUCUUGCUCUCGUGAGGUUUUUGUACAUGGUGACGUUUUCCAGCGCCGGCUGAAGUCGGACAAAAAAAUCUAACCAUGAUGUAUUGCUUUAAGCCAGUGCUGCAAACGGCUGCGUGAAGUCAAACGCACCCAUAGACAAAUACAGCAAUCGCAGGCACAGACAGAGAAACAGGAGGGAAGGAGACGCACGCGACAAAAUGAAUGACUGCAGGAAACGGAGUAAAAUUUGGAUACAUUUCAAUUACAUUGAUAAUACACAAAGGCAGAGUGUAGAGCGUGCAACGUUAAAAUCUCAUCGAACAGGCUCUACAAAUAACCUGCAUUGGCACCUGAGAACUGUGCAUCCAUCAGUGCAGUGGGAAGAAAAAAGACAAGCAAGUGAACCUGCUACUAAUGAAAGAGACAGUUUGUCUACUGCAGUUUGUCAAUGUCUACACCGUCAUCCAGUACAGCACCACAACCACCUAGACCUACAACCUAGAGCUCUAUGAGACCGUUUGUGCAAAAAGCUAUGACUCCAGUAAAACAGAAAACAAUUGAUGAGGAAUUGGCUAAAAUAAUUGCACAUGAUUUCCAACCAUAGUAAUUCAUUUCACUAAUAAUUUUACAUUAUUUUUGGUGAUAAAUUCAUUUAAGCACCAAAACAAUCUGAAGAGCCACUUUUAAGAGCCGGCUCUCUUAAAAGAGCCGGAAUUCCCAUCACUAGUGCUCGGGUACUUGGUACCUGGUGCCAGAGUGUGACUGAAGCACUUUGCUGGAUUGCUUGAAUAAAGGAGAUAACUUUGCUCACCAACUGAGAGGUCCGGAGUUGUUUUAUUCUAAAUGGCUAAACUAGAGUCAUGGGAUAGGUUGAUUUAUAAUUUUUCCUCCAUACUACUGAAAACUAAACAAAUGUAAAUGCGAGGUAAAUAGGUCACAAAAUUCAGCUCUCUGUUCACAUCGUCUACAGGAGUCAGGUGUAUCACUACAGUGCUUCAUUCUCCAAGCACCUCUGCUGUGUUCAUAGUGAGCAUGAAUUUUUUCACACCCAUUCAUGGAUUUUGCCCACUUAUGGAGCUCCCCAAUGUUCUGCUAUUGGAGCAAAGAGUACUUGAAGGGCUCCUGUUCAAGUGGCUUACCUCCUGAGAGGAAGAUGGACUUCAUUUUCUCGUUUAAUUUUGACCUUGAUGUAUACUGAAUUGAUCCACCGAUUUCUUACAGAGGGGCGGCAUGGUGGUGCAGUGGUUAGCACUGUUGCCUCACACCUCUGGGACCCGGGUUCGAGUCUUCACCUGGGUUACAUGUGUGUGGAGUUUGCAUGUUCUCCCCAUGUCGUCGUGGGGUUUCCUCCGGGUACUCCGGUUUCCCCCCACAGUCCAAAAACAUGCUGAGGCUGAUGGGAGUUGCUAAAUUGCCCAUAGGUGUGCGUGUGAGAGUGAAUGGUUUGUGAGCGUGCCCUGCGAUGGGCUAGCCCCCCAUCCUGGGUUGUUCCCUGCCUCAUGCCCAUUGCUUCCGGGAUAGGCUCCGGACCCCCUGCGACCCAGUAGGAUAAGCAGUUUGGAAAACGGAUGGAUGGAUUUCUUACAGAUUUCUAUAGAAACGGUGUUGUUGCUAUGUCAGUCAAUAACAGCUUGCGCGGCUGCACUGCGUUUUACUACCAUCAAGUGGUAACAGUCCCAAAGUACAACUGAUCCGAUUGAUGUCAAUCUCAGUAAUGCCUUUAACCACUCUCAUCCACUUUUUUCAAUCACAUUAACCUACAUUUCAAGGUGCAUUCAAAAAAUUGUCUUUGAGCUUGUGUAUUGGUCAUAAUCAAUUUAAUUUAGAAUGAUCGUUAUUUGUGUUCCAAGUGGACUUGGCAUCCUAUCCAGGGUGUUCCCCUGCCUUCUGCUAUGUGUUUCCUGGGCCAGGAUCCAGGCUCCCAAUCCAUAACCAGGUCUUGGUUUUUUUGUACAUCCAUUAUUAAAUCAUGAGACACAGGCAUAAUUUUAAAUGGGUGUUUUUACUGAAAUUCACUACUUUUUAAAACAAGUUUUAAACCUUUUUAAAAAGGUUAUUCAAUUUUUAUAUUUUAAGAAGAAUUUGUUAAAACUAUUCCUUUUUCAGAAUUUCCAUAAACAAUUUUCCUGUUUAAAAUGUGUUUUAUUGUCUAAAAAGCAUUUAUUGUCUAAGUUGAAAUCUACUUGGGGCGGCAUGGUGGUGCAGUGGAUAGCACUGUUGCCUCAUGCCUCUGGAACCCGGGUUCAAGUCUCCAUCUGGGUCACAUGUGUGUGGAGUUUGCAUGUUCUCCCCAUGUCGUCGUGGGGUUUCCUCCGGGUACUCUGGUUUCCCCCCACAGUCCAAAAACAUGCUGAGGCUAAUUGGAGUUGCUAAAUUGCCCGUAGGUGUGCAUGUGUGAGUGAAUGGUGUGUGAGUGUGCCCUGCGAUGGGCUGGCCCCCCAUCCUGGGUUGUUCCCUGCCUCGUGUCCAUUGCUUUCCGGAUAGGCUCUGGACCCCCCACAACCCAGUAGGAUAAGUGGCUUGGAAAAUGUAAGGAUGGAAAUCUACUUUUUUGUCUAUUGGCCAAUUAUCUGCUUCAAAUUGUUUGCAGUUAAUUAGCAAACGUGCCAGUUUUGAUGACAGGUACGUUGUAAUCGUACAACAAUUACAAUUACAGCCCCUGAGUGUAGAAAAGGGCUGCCCAUUUACAUCUAAGCGGUAUUUAUCUUUCAAGGUCUUGAUGUCUGGGUGACGAAUCUCAAUGUUCACAUCUACACCCUCAUUCGUACAUCUGCCAUGAGGCUUAAGAUUUCUGGUUUGGUUUCAAGGCCAUUCCAGGACACAAAUAUAAUAAUGAUAAAAAUAUAAAUCCGGAAAUAGUGAAAUAAGGGUUAGGUAGUGUGUUUUUGUGCAGCACCUAUCGCCCCGUUCUCUGACCAGGAGGUGCUGUUCUGAUGUUUUAUGUGAGCAAAUGUUGCACAGAUGUCAAAUACAGCAAUAAUGUUCCCGCUUUGCAUUAUAACCUAUUUUUCCCGGUUAACUGCUCUGCUACACUGAUUAUUAUUCGGCGUCCCCUGAAAUACAACAAAAGCAGCAAUAUAGUAAUUUCCCCCGUUCCAGUGCAGGGUUUGCAGAGUUAGCCUGGAGUCUCACUGCAUACUCACACUGCAGGCAGUUUUGGGAUACCGGAUCACCUGCCCACUUCUUUUUUGACUGAGGGAAGAAGCCAGAGUACAUGGAGGAAUCCCAUGAAAACUUGGAGAACAUGUGCAAAGCCCAAAGUGCUGAGGGUGGGACGCAGUGGACCUGAUCCUGGAGGUGAGACGCAGUGGACCUGCCCGCCAGACUCCUCAUUUUAUCAUCUGCAGAGCUGUAUCUAACUGGUGUUUUCUAUUCUGCAUGGGGAAUCUGCUGUUUCCUGUAGCUACACUGCAAAUAGAAAAUCUAAGCAAGUACUCUAUAUUCUAACCUCAUAAAUAAACUGACUAACAACACACCUUACGAAUAAGAUUAAUUUGCUUGCAUUUAGGCGUAUUGUCUUAUUUUAGGGAAUCUUACCAAGUGCAAUUUUCUUACUGCACUGGCAGAUAAUUUUGCUAGUUUUGUGCCUUUUGCACAAAACUGAAAAAUCUUACAUUCGAAAGGCCAUUUUUUUUGCGGUGUAAGAUAAUGCUGUUUUUACACGUGCAAAUAAGUUGGGAAAAUUAUUAAAUCUACUCGGUUAAUAAGUAAAUGCAGUCUGGGGAAAAAAGUGGCCUAUAGUGUAACGUUAUGCAAUUCGGGUUUGGCCCAUAUUUUUCGCCCAGGAAUGUAAACUCAGAAACAUUUUCAGCCUGGAGUUUUCCUCCAGACAGGAGUUGCUUUGUCAGUGUUAAUACCAUCUCCUUCCUCAGGGACAGUAGAGAAUGGAGUAGCUUUCACUUUGAUUCAUGCCAGCUGUCCUCUAAACACUCCGCGUCGGUACCCUUGCGUUUAUCUCUGCCCUCCUCCAACCUGUGCUCAGAGAUCCCAAGAUCCCAUGCGGUAAUUUUUACCGCAGGCUAGCCAUAACGGCGAACUGAGGAAUAUGAUGUCAGGCCUGAACACGGUGUACAAGAACAGCACUAACGGGACACGGAGAAUCUUAUUAAAUGCAAAUGGAGGCCCAGCCAGACACUGGUGUCCCUGGAAACGAGCUCGGUUCCAUUCCUUUUGCAAGUUGUAGUUGUUCCAUCUGCUUUUAAUAUACUUUCUCUACUUGUGCUUCAUACAGGGAAAAAAAACACAGAAAUUGUGGUGGACCAGCUGUAAGAGGACAACACAUUGACCCUGUGGGCAUUAAAAACUACCAAUAACUGCCAGGAGUACACUGGAAAGGCUAUUAACCAGUUCCCUAAAAAAUACUUUUAGGAAAUAGAAUUCUUCUGGUUGCAAUGUUUGUUAUUGCAUUCAGGCACACUUAGUGAGGACUCCAAAUUCAUUUGUGACAAAGAAUAACAAAAGAUACUUCUGAUACACAACUAAAUACAGUGGGCCUACAGCCUAGAUGACCCCCACCACCACCACCAGCAGCAUCUAGUCUGGCAGUGUCGCCACCUGCUGGUCUCCCGAUGACAUUAUUUCUGAUGCACUGCACUUCUUCACUUACUCCAGUUAACUCAGUUAAAAAUUGAAAGAGCAUUUGUUAUUGGUUAUUUUGCAACACAAAUAGUUAAAAGCAAAGAUUAAAGGUUAUCCAUUUGGGCUUUGAGUAAUUGGUUCGUAGGGUAUAAUGUAACCUGCAUGGUGCACUAGUGCAUAAAAGUAUUUAUAUAGUUAACUCGCCUACCACUUUACUGUUUUGUGUAUUCAGAACACAGGCAGCUGAUCGGCGUUUAGCCAGUGUCGUCAUCUGUUGCAGCACUUAAGAUGGCACCUCUGACCCUCUGGCACCUCCCUGCCCCCAGCCUGCUCCCUCCAGGCUCGGGCACCAGGAUGGUUCAUCAUCAGCCAUGAUGGAGGCACUGGCCUCCCAGUGGGCAGGAGCAGAGGGGUACCAGCUGGAUGGACUGGGGGGGUAUAUUUGCCUCGGUGUGGGGGGCGGAGGGCAGUAAACAACUAAGCAACAUUGAUGAGAGAUUUAUAAAAUGAUAGAUGUUUAUCCGUCUUCGAGUCCGACUGGAUCCGAUUCUGUUGUCCCUGAAAGGAAGCACAUUUUUUCAAAUUAAACAGGAAGAACAUCAAUGACUCCCCUUUGCCAUAAUGGAGUACUGAAUUCAGAUUUCUGCAAAUUCUGCUGGCUGUGUUUGCAGCUUGAGCUCCGGGGGAUCAGAGAAUGAUCUACCAUUGUGUUAGCUGUUCACACGUGCUCAGCUGUCACUGUGUUCAAAGCACAGGCGGUCAGAGCACGCACUCCAAGACGUCCUGUCCGUGAUGUCCCCUGCUGUGAUGGCGUUUAUGUAGCGGAACGUUUUGUCCAGAACAACAUAGAUGGUAGGAUUACGAGGGGUGAGGGAGAAGGUCCUGCUGGGGUUAAAGGGCUAUGCUCAGGGGUCCGUUGGUGGUAUGAUAAUUCUCCCAAGAUUCUGCAAAUGCACCAGAAAAACAGUUAACCCAGCAUUCAGAGACCAAACCUCACCCUCACCUGUAAAAUGUCUCUGUGUGUUUCUGAUUGGAGAGCAAGAUGGGAGUUGCAAACACUGGGUAUCAUUACAUUUGUAUUUGUAUGACGACAAGGCAUUCUAUUCUAUUAUCCACAUCUGAAUGCAGGGUUUGUCAGCUGAUUUCCUCCUGCCCAGAGUCAUCCAAUUCCCCACUCAUAAAAACAAAGACAAGAAAAAAUAUUUUAUACACUAUUUUAUAUGUUACACAGUAUACUCUAUAUAUUUUGCAUCUUUUGUAUAAUACUAGUGUAUUAUUACACAUAUACAUAUUAUGUGCAUUGGAAACAUACACACUGCUAUAUACCUUAAACGUUGUCCUUAGGUGUUAAAAAAGAAUCAAAUGAAUAAAAUGUCACGAUCGGUGAGCGCGGGUAAAGCGCAGGCAGGCAGAAAGCAGGCGGGCCGGCAAAAGACGGGAAAACGGGGAUUUAUUUGGGCACCGGGGUGCAGGAAACAUCUGACGCAGACUAACAUCAAUGACAGACCAGGAACCACGGCAAGCCGCGGACUGAAAUACACAAGACGGAGCAAAAUAACUAGACACAGCUGGGUACGAUCGGGGAAGCACACGUGGAUAAUCAGGGGGGCGUGGCGCACACGAGGAUCGUACGAGCUGGGCGUGACACACAAUACCUUGAAGGCGGUUCUGGAUUUUCUGCAAGGUACCUAUCUGAAACAUUUAAGGACAGGUCUCCGUUCCAUAGGUUGUACUUUGGGACCGCUGUUAAUUAUGUGUGUGACAGAAGCAUGACAUCAGUAUUGCCCACACCCCCCGCCAUGCAAUGUGUAACAGGCACUGUCUCCAGGUUUCAAACCGCAAUGCAUGUUCCUGCUUGUAUGUCUAUCUGCAUGGGUUUCCUUCAGGUACUGCAGGCACCUGCUGCAGCAGUAUAAAAUAAAUUGCUCUAGAAUUUUAAAUUAGUCAUAGUGUAUGUGUGUGUGUGUGUGUGUGUGUGUGUGUGUGCUCUGCGAUGGACUGGCAUCCCAUCCAUGGCAUCCACAGCCCUGUGCCCUGCACUUCCUGUCGAAGAUGUCAGACCCCCACAGCCUGAUCCUGGAUAAGCCUUUAUGAAAAACAGAAUGAAACAAUGCAAAAACUAGACGUCCAUGUUGUUUUUCUAGCAGUGUAAGUCAGCAGGCUGCCCCAUUGCUACAGCUUGGAACAUCAUCAUCAUUCUAUUAUGAUCUGUGGCUUGCAAAAUCUCAUUAGGAUGGGCUUAUAAUAUUCUAAUGAAUGUUACCUGUCAUACGUGUGAACCCGUAGUGGAAAAGCAGUUGCAUAGACAGAUUAAUACCUGCAAGCUUAGUCCAGUAUUUUGUGUACCCUCACUGAACCCCUUAAACUGACAUUCAGAUUUGGGAUGGGGAACAUGUACGUUUCGGAAUACUUGGGGAAAUUAGGCUGCUAGUGGGUUGGUUUUGCCAGACUGAGGGACUUCAGGGUCAGAAUACAGAAGUGGGACAGAGUGUGUUCAUUAGGGUCCGCUAGUGCAUGUGGGUAACAAUCCUGCCCCCAUAUGGCGCUAAUGAGCUCAGGGGUGAAGCGCAGGCAGUAAACCUGGAACUGUUUUAGUUGAUUUGCCAGCAAUAACUUACACUUUCUGGCCAUUUAUACAGCUAAGGGCAGGGUUAAGAAUCCUAUCCAAAGUACCAGGCCACUACUAGGAUUAGAGCAGGUAACCUUCACGUCAAGUGCAUAAAUGAGUCAGAGACAUGAACAGAGCCACUGACGUAUUCAUUAUUAUUAUCACUUAUGUUUAAUAUAAGGGGAUGACGAAGUGGCUGUACUCUUCUGGGGUUUAAUCCCACCCCUGCUCUGGGUGUGGGUUUCUUCUGGUCAUUCCAAUUUACACCCCCAGUCCCCAAUACAUGUAAGCCAUCACCUGGAUAAGCAGUUCAAAGAGGAAUGCAUUUCUGAUAAAUGCGUGUAUAACAUCAGUUUUACAGGUACAUUAUAGCUAAAACAUAUUUCGCGUCCAAGAUAAUAUAGGUACGACAACCUAACAAAUUUGCAGCAGAUUAACGAUUUAAUAUUUGUUUCUCACCAAAAAAGAACAGCCUGAAAAACAGGCUAAAGUGUCAAAAAUACGUUCAACCAGUUAAUUAAGCGAGUUGCUCGAUCGCAAUUCUAAAUAAUAAUUAAAUGCUCGCGAUUUGAAAGGGUUUAUUUUCCGAGUUUCCCUCCUUAUAUUCGAGAAAGUGACUUUUGAGAGCUGCUGGUCUGGCACAAAGGCUCCCUGCGCUCAGCCGAGCACCCCCGCAGCCGGGAACACAUGCCGGUCACGUGACGCCGAGCCCAGUCUGCCGGGAGGGACCCGCACGCGCUGCCGAUCCCCUCCUUUCGCCCCGCACCCUGUCCCGUUUUUAUAAACUUGUCACUAAACGGCGCCGCGCGGCAGGAGCACAGCUCGGGAGCAUGUGGCGUCCCUCGCUUAUCUGAGCUCGAUUAGGACUCCCUGUGCUGCAGGGCUGAGGAGCUUGGCCGGGUUCAGCGCGCGGCCGCCGCCGCCUCCGUGCGCGGUCACAGUGGUUCGGAGAAGCGGAGCCGGAGCUCCAGCGGCAGAACGGGGUGGACGCGGGGCGCCCACGGCGGUUAGCUGCCCAGACCAAACCCGGCGCAGGACUGUCGCCCUAGUAUAACUGGCUGAUUGGGCUGGCCGCGGAGGUGAAGAGCGUGAAGAAAGUAAGGAAACCGACCAUUAGGAGUACGGCGACUGGGAGAAGAAAAAGUGUCUUCGGUCACGUCAAACAUCCCAAAGUAUCAAGGCGGAAUGGCCUCGGAAGAUCUGUACGAGCAGACACCCACAAGAUGGAAAAUUAGCCAAGGAAACCUGCAAAGCUGUCCAUCCUUGCCCAUUUUGGUGAGCCACCUCCUACAGCCACGCCUGGAAAUCACAGAGCUGUAUGUAAGCAAUGCAAUGCAGCUGACUGAGGUUCCACCACGGACACUUCAAAUUUCAAAGGACAUCUACAGAAGAAGCAUCCUGAACUUCUGGUGAAGCCUGAACCCAGUGAUGACCCAGUCACCCCUAACCAGACUGUUAUAGAUACUGCACCUGCUGAGCCCGAGGCUAGCUCUAAAUGGGUCGUGGUUCCAAUACCAACAGAUAGUCGUCAAGUUCCUCUGACAGACAGCAUUGUGACAUAUAUUGUAAAUGGACUCCUUCCCCUCUCUACUGUAGAAAAUAAGGAUUUCAUCACAAUUUUGCAAUUGGCUGAACCCUUCUUUACAAUGCCUUCUCGGAGAGACCUCACCCAGAACCUCAUUCCUCAGCGCACCACUGCGGUUAAAAAUCAUUUAAUUAAUCAGAUGCAGAGUGCUGCUGAUAUUUGCCUGACUGUGGAUCUAUGGUCAAAUCGAUCCAUGAGGUCAUUUUUUGCCAUGACUAGUCAUUUCAUUUCAGAUUUUGAAUUGCAGAAUGUAAUGUUGAGUUGCCGGCGAUUCAAGGGGAGGCAUUCAGCAGAUAACAUCUGUGGUGUGUAUGAGGAUAUUUUAUCAACUUAUGGCAUUAAAAACAAAGUAUCAUUCAUUGUGACCGAUAAUGCAUCUAACAUUUUAAAGGCAUUCACCCUCUUCCCACCUAUGGCUGUUGUUGAUGAUGAGGAGGAGAUGGAACAAGAUGCCGUAUCUGAUCUUCAUGUGGUGAACAUUGAUGAGGAGAUGAUGUACUUCCCUCCAGAAAGAAGUCCGUGCUUUGUCCAUACAUUGCAACUUGUGGUUCGGGAUGCCCUGGAUCAAGUUGGGUCUAUAAAAAAUGUGCUAGAUAAAAUCCAAAAACUUGUGUCAUUCUGCCAUAAGUCUCCAGUGGCUACUGAAAUUUUAGGAGAUUACAAACUGUGUCAUUCAAAUGUCGCCCGCUGGAAUAGCCAGUUGAAGAUGCUGAAGUCAGUCCUUAACAUUCCCACUGGUGUCCUUGGUCAGCUGGAGUGCCCUGUUCAGCUGUCACCCACUGAAUUUAAGAUUAUGCAGGAACUAUGUGUGGUGCUGGAGCCCUUUGAGGAGGUGACAGACAGGUGUCAGGCAGAGAAAGCUGUAACUUCCAGCUUGGUGAUUCCGUGUGUUCGAGCCUUAAGGCACGCAGUCAGAAACAUGAAGAUGACUGGCAACAACAACUUGGUGUCCAUUCUGCAGAACUCGGUUGAGAGACAUCUUUCAAAAUUUGAAGACAUGCAAUGCUUUCAGAUGGCUUCCACUCUUGACCCAAGAUUCAAACUGGAUUGGUGUAUUGGUGAAGAGGUUACCACCAUGAAGGAUCUUCUCAUGGGAAAAGUUGAGUGUCUUUCACCAAAACUCAGUGCUGGAUAUAAUGACUGCAGUGACCAACCAAAGAAACGUCCUAAACUCUUUUCCUAUAUGGAGAGUCAGACUAGUCCAUCUGCUGUUGCCAGAACUUCACAUGAUGUCAUCGUAUACCUGAGUCAACCAUGUUUAGCAGAGGAUGUUGACCCUUUGGCCUACUGGAAAGGAACCCAAACCAGCUUUCCUGAGCUAGCACGACUUGCCUGCCGAUACCUUGCUAUACCAGCUUCCUCCGCACCUGUUGAGAGAAUCUUCAGUAUGGCGGGAAAUAUUUUCAGGCCGGGACAAUGCCAUGUAAAUGAUAAAACAUUUGAAGAUCUUUUGAUUAUUAAGUGUAAUAAUAUUGAACAAUGAGUUGAAUUGGAAUAAAGCAUAAUUGCAUUUGCUGUGAUGUUUUGCUUUUUGUUAGUACUAAGGUGGAACUGAAAGUCAACUUAAUAUACACUUGGUGGGUGAUCAAAAAAUAUAGCCCUAUAAGACAAUAAAACCUAAAAGAAAAACAUA